rnacentral:misc_RNA from 1 species
AAGUCGUAACAAGGUUUCCGUAGGUGAACCUGCGGAAGGAUCAUUAAAGAAUUCGGCUUCGCGGCCAAGUUCUCACCCUUUGUAUACCGAAACUAUGUUGCUUUGCAUGGCCCUGCCAUUUCUUCGGCCUGGCCCGAGGUAUAACCACUAGAAUCUCUGCUGUCUGAGUACUAUGCAAUAGUUAAAA